GUUGUUCGGAAUCACUGGGCGUAAAGGGCGUGUAGGCGGUCCGCUAAGUCUGAUGUGAAAGCCCGGGGCUCACCCCCGGAAGGGCAUUGGAAACUGACGGACUCGAGUCCCGAAGAGGAGGGUGGAAUUCCUGGUGUAGCGGUGAAAUGCGUAGAUAUCAGGAGGAACACCGGUGGCGAAGGCGGCCCUCUGGACGGUGACUGACGCUGAGACGCGAAAGCGUGGGGAGCAAACAGG
rnacentral:rRNA from 1 species